CCAAGACAGUUAAAUAAAAUCGUGUUGAAGUACAUUUAGGAUCACAGAAUCACAGAACGAUUUGGGUUGGAGGGGGACCUUAAAUAUCAUCUAGUUUCAGUCCCCUGCCAUGCUCAUCUAGGCAUAAACUCCAUGGAUAAACCCUUUAGAGGAAGAAAAAAGCUACAAGACGUGACAGGAAAACAGUAAGAUGUCCUACAGGAGCUCUCCCAACAGUUUUGCUGAGCAGAGUGAUUCAUCCCUAAAAGCCAGUGGGGUAAAACUGGUUAUCCAAGAGGGUCAGCAAAUGCUACACUUUGUUUUUGUUAAUUCCUUGUUGAUAUAGCCUAAAAAAUACAGGUUUGCUGAGGAGGAGCUAUCUUUUGUACACUGCAGAAUUUAUACAAAACUUUUGGCACAGUUGCCUUGAGGUUUCACGUGAAAAUUGUGGAAAAGGAAAAAUAACUUAAAGAAAUCUGGUCUUUAAUUUGUCACAGAAGACAUAAGGCUGCAGGAAUUGAACUGAUCAGUAAUGAAAAAAAAAUCACACAUUUUUUCUUUACUAUUAAUUAUUAGGGCCUUAACCUGCUUGCCAUACACACUUCAGACAAAACUUCUGUAUCUUUACCUUUAAUUGGCCUAUUUUGGCAGAGUCAACUUUUUUUUUUUAAUCAUUAAGGCAUUUAUUCAUCAGUGUGAUCGAUCUCAAGAGCAGUGAACGCUCAGUCUGCUUCCAAUGGCUUGUUCAUGACUCACAGGGUCAGGCUGGAUGGGUCUUGGAGCAACCUGGUCUAGUAGAAGGUGUCCCUGCCCAUGGCAGGGGAUGGAAUGAGAUGGGCUUUAAGGUCCCUUCCAACCCAAACUGUUCUAGGAUUCUGUGGAUUGCAUCUGCCGUUUCAGAACAAGGUCAACGAAAGGUAGACAAGGUCACUGAGGGAGAUGGCUUGAAGGCACCUAAAAUUAUGGUCCUGAGAGAAGGUGUGUUCCCAUGCCCUGGAACAAAGGAAAGCACACACCUUCAUGCUGUUGCUUGCUGCACUUCUUCACCAACAUAAAUAACUACGCUAAAGAGUCUCAGAAGCAAAGAAUGUGUGUCCUACAUCCUGGACAAGCACCACCACACCUCAGGGACGGAGCCCAGUUUGGAAAUGUUGUGAGCAGUUCAUGGAAACAACUCCGUGGGGUAAAAAGUGAUCCCAUCAAUCCAAAAUUCAGAUCGCAGCUCAGCACGUGGCCUGUGCUGGGGUUUUUUGCCGUUCUCAGGGGAUUUUGAUGAACAGAAGGCUAAAGCUAAGGUCUGUUAGACAGCUAUUACCUUUUGCCUCUCAUGUGAUAAUAGCCGUGGAAGUGAUAUUUGGUCACCUACGCAGGUUUCCUCAAGGUGUUGACAAGCUGCACGUCAUGUGUCAGAAAAGCUGAAUGUUUAUUUUCCACACUAACAUGUCACUCAUUUUAUGUUAAGGGCAGCAACAGUGUGUGCUGUUCCAUGUGAGUAAAUUAAAUGUGGCUGGGGCCGUUCCCACGUGGCACUGAAGAGCUUCAUCCACCCAACGAGACAUUCAUCAUCUUUUAGCUCAGGGUGGCCACAUCCAAACCACUUUGGGAGAAGCUGCAGAGCUGGACUGACUCCCCAUCCAUGCUGCAUUUGCAGUUGUGCCCUGUGAAUCAGUUACAACCCAGGCAAGUGGUGUUUCCAUUUCCAAGUGGAAACUGGACAUUUCAAGCUUGAAUGUUCAAUUCGAAGCGUAUUUGUUGCUUAUUCAAUCUGUCACGUGUGUGAACUGUGCAUUUGACACAGUUUCUCAACUCCAACAGCACGUAUAGGGGGCUGCUUACUUGCUGUGGGAAGUCCCUGGGGAACACGAUGGUCUGAACACUGCUGAGCUGGGAGCAGAAAACAAAUAGAUCUGCAGGGGAUGCUUUGUGUCUGCUCCUGGGCCUGAACAGGCUGGUUCUCCAAUGGUGAGGGACAACAGGUUACUCUGCUGGCCUGACCACAUCCAGGAGCUCUGGCACUCAGAAGCCAUUAGGGCGGUAAUUUCUUAUUGAGCAGCGGGAUUGCUUUAUGUCUGGGCAAAAUUUUUGAUCUACAGCGGUUAAGAGAUUUUACCACCACGCUGCAGCCAGGUUCAUUCAUCACGGGAAACAGCACUGUGUCACUCUGUACAAUAAUCUAUACGGGAUCCUGUAUCCUGAAUAUUCUGUGCAGCUAGUUCUCCAUCUCAUAAAGGAUGCAGGUGACUGGGAAAAGGUUCAUGAAGGCUACAAAGCUGCGGGACUGCCUGUGUUGGAGAGAUGACUACAACUCAACCUGGAAAAAAGACAACCUGAAAGUUUCACAGAUGCCUAUGAAAUCAUGACUAAUAUGCAAAAGGUGGACAGGGAUUGCCAGCAGUCAACAGGCAACUGGUCUCAUCCAGUACAAGUAGCCCAGGGCACAAAAUGAGGCUAAAUUUGGCUGCUCAAAACAUCAGAAACUUGUUUUCCCCCACAACCUCUAUUUAAGCUGUGGAGUUUAUUGUCACAGGAUGCUCUAAGCUGCUAAAAGUGUGCCUGGGUUUUAAAAAGUCACUGGUUGUGUUCAUGGAAGAAAAAAAUCCAUUGAGGGUUAUUAAAAACAAGACAUCAUGUCUAGGUCAGAAAACCCAUAACCAGUAAAUCAUGAGUAGCUAAAACAAUAUUCUGGGAACAUAUCUCUCACUGCUCGUGUGCUUUCACAAAGUGUCUGCUUUCAUCUGUAACUGGGAACAGGGCACUGGCACGGAUGGAACCUGGUCCAGCUUUUCUGGUGCUUUUGUUGCUUUUUUUUCACCCUACAAAGGCCAUAAUGCUGCCAGUUCAGUGAGUCCUGACAGCCCACCUACUACCAGAGCCUAUGCAGGGAAAGGGCACAAAACCAGGCUUUACCCUUCCCACCCUGGCUUCCAGAUCUUCUGGCUGCACCGAGGAGCUGUAAAGCCUGAUGGUUUAAUCUCCCAGGCCUUUGCUGGGAACGAGGGGAAUAUUGAAAGAGCGACUCUGCAACACAUCCAGGUGCUGGGGAUGGACAAAACCACUUUGGGGUGCUGGUGGUGCUGUACUGGUGUGGGAGAUCUUCUGGAUCAGGGAUGACAGUGUCUGGAACUGAGACCUUUAGCAUGGAGAUGAAUUCACUCAGGAAAGCCUUGGCAAUCAGGGUGUUGCACACUACCAAGAAAAGACCUGGAGGACUAUGUCUGCAGUCUCAAAAGUCAACUUUGGCAUGUCUCCCUCUAUCUCUGUGGAUCCACAAGGCACUUCCUGAAAUGCUACUAAAUCUACUUCCAAACAACCAGAGGCAGAGAAUUUCCACCAUGAAACGCUUCAACAUAUUAUUUGUGAAUUAAAAUACUUAUACAAGGAUAUUCUUGGGGAUAAAUUUCCCAGUUGUUUGCUUUAGUGGAGUAAGCAUAGCAUUAAAUUACAGGGAAGCGCAA